CAAUAGCGUAUAUUAAAGUUGUUGCGGUUAAAAAGCUCAUAGUUGGAUUUCUGCUGAGAACGACCGGUCCGCCCUCUGGGUGUGUAUCUGGCUCUUUCUUGGCAUCUUCUUGGUGAACGUUGCUGCACUUGACUGUGUGGAGCGCUACCCAGGACUUUUACUUUGAGGAAAUUAGAGUGUUUCAAGCAGGCAUACGCCUUGAAUACAUUAGCAUGGAAUAAUAAGAUAGGACCUCGGUUCUAUUUUGUUGGUUUCUAGAGCUGAGGUAAUGAUUAAUAGGGAUAGUUGGGGGCAUUCGUAUUUAACUGUCAGAGGUGAAAUUCUUGGAUUUGUUAAAGACGGACUACUGCGAANGNAUUUGCNAAGGAUGUUUNCAUUG
rnacentral:rRNA from 1 species